rnacentral:rRNA from 1 species
UGGGGAAUAUUGGACAAUGGGCGCAAGCCUGAUCCAGCCAUGCCGCGUGUGUGAAGAAGGCCUUUUGGUUGUAAAGCACUUUAAGCGAGGAGGAGGCUACUUGGAUUAAUACUCUAGGAUAGUGGACGUUACUCGCAGAAUAAGCACCGGCUAACUCUGUGCCAGCAGCCGCGGUAAU